UCGCCACUGCUCGUACGCAUUUCAUGAACACUGACGGUCUAAUCCACCACAAAGGGGUGUUCUUUUCCGGAAAAGUAGUUGGGAGUGCCAGCCCAUAAGCCCAGGAGCUUCUGCUGGGGUUAUAUACAGGUAGAGCGGUAGUGGUACAGGCCUGAGGUCUGCGGAUCGACAUGGCAGGUUUUUAGAUUGAGUAUAUUGGGACUGAUCGUCCGAUUGAUGUAUACAUAUAGUAGCGGUAGUG
rnacentral:lncRNA from 1 species